CUACGACUUCAGAGUUUGAUCCUGGCUCAGGAUGAACGCUAGCUACAGGCUUAACACAUGCAAGUCGAGGGGCAGCACAGUGUAGCAAUACAUGGGUGGCGACCGGCGCACGGGUGCGUAACGCGUAUCCAACCUUCCCGAUACUCAGGGAUAGCCUUCCGAAAGGGAGAUUAAUACCUGAUGGUGUUUCAAUUCCGCAUGUUAAUGAAACUAAAGAUUUAUCGGUAUCGGAUGGGGAUGCGUGACAUUAGAUAGUAGGCGGGGUAACGGCCCACCUAGUCUACGAUGUCUAGGGGUUCUGAGAGGAAGGUCCCCCACACUGGAACUGAGACACGGUCCAG
rnacentral:rRNA from 1 species